AUGAUCCCCGCAAAAUGUGCGUGUUAGUGUUCGCGUUUCGCCAGUUUGCUUGUGACAUAGAGGAACUUGUCAUGGAGCCUGGUAAGAGGAGAAGAGUCUCCCCUGUAUGGCAACACUUUGAGCAGAUCUCUCCCAGUUAAGUGUUUGUUGUGUGCCAAGCAACUGGGGUACAACAACAGCACCUCAUCUAUGCUGAGGCAUUAUCGGGCCUAUCAUGAAAAUAGUGAGGGGAAAGGAGUCGGACCAGCCAAGGCAGUGACCAGAAAGGAGGAGCUGGAUGAGGCUUUGGUCUCCAUGAUUGUUAAAGACACACAGCCAUUCAGCAUAGUUGAGGAUAAAGGCUUCAGGGACUUUGUAGCUAAAUUGGAUCCAACCUAUG